CCUCCUCUCUCUCUCCCCAGAAAAUUGCGGCCGCUUGUGUUCUCGCCCCGCCUCGAUCCACUGUCUUUGCCCUCUGCCACGGUGCAUCGUCGCCAAUUCAAUCGACAUGUACUCCGACGACGGCUCAGACCUCGAGUUGGAGGACCUUGACAUGGUCUGCCGCUCCUAUAUGAUCACCGAAGCCGACCCGGAUGGUGUACAGGUCUCCUUCUAUCUCGCUGGCCUGCGACCACAACGGCGGCGACAACCUAUGGUUUGUCGGACGGGGAUUAGGACGUACCACAAGGUCGGAAGGACCCAUCCCUCGUUCGUAGGAGUUCAUGAUGGAGCCUCCUUGUUCAGGGAGGCCAUUAAAGAUGGGAGUUCAGGUGUACCACCACUUCAAGGUGAACAACUAACCUGGCCUUUUCAUAAUGUAUUUAUACUUCAAAAUAUGUAGAUGGAGUGUUCAUCGUAUAACCAAGAAGUAUGGCCAAGACCCGACAAACAUUUAGGAUCAUGAAAGGUGGUUUUGCACCUAGCAUUCAGGUAACAGUCACCCACAUGUUUCUCUGGUGCUACCAUAUUAUAGGAUAGCACAAUGAGCCUUGACUAUUUUGUGACGACUUCAGUUGAAUACGUGAAUCCAAAUGCUCAUAUGUGCUUUAAAAAAACUUAUACUCAUGCACAAAAAUAAAGAGGGUCUUGAUUUUUGAACUGUUGAAGACAGAUGUAGCUAUGGCCGGCUACACUAGAAGAAUUUAUUUUUGUCUACACAUAGCUCAUGAUUCAGACCUUGUAUACUUAUUCAUGUGUCACAGUUGGUCAUUGGAAUGGAUGUUGCUGCUUCUGAAUUUUACGGUGAGAAGGAUCAGACUAAUCAGCCUCGAUUUUGUUGCAUCUUCAUUGGCAGGGAACUGGCAUUGUAGGCUCGGUUAAUUUGAUAUCCUGUGGAGAAGCGAAUUAUUUUGUGCCACCCCAAAAUAUUCAUCUUUGUACCCUUUUCUCCAUUGAUCAGUGCAACGACUUAUCAGUGAACUUUACCUGAUAUUAUUUUUGCUUGAGACAUAGUUAGUCAUGGUGCUGAUCAUAUUGUAUUCCUGUGAUGAUUCAAGACUGCGAGUGUACCUAUACUUCAUGCUUCUGAUGGUGAAUCAUUUUUGUGGCAUUACAUACAACCAGUGGGAAGAGGUCAGUAGGCACUAGCAUGUUUCACUAUUUGAAUUACAAACUAGAACUUGUUCAAGUACGAAUGAGUGCAUUGAUCCAAACCGGCACACCCUUGUUCCGGCGACAGGUGAUGCAACCACAUCGUGGCCACCCAUCCGUCCUACCGAGCUCCCCGCUGAACACGAGGAUAGGGUGAGAAGAAGGACCGAAUGCAUCCAGACUGGCACACCCCUAUGUCAGCGAUAGGUGACGCGACCGCAUCGAGGCCACCCAUCCCUCCUACUAAGCUCCCCAUCGAACAAACCCCCUCUGUCGCCUCACCAUGGCAGCCGGCACACAUUCCCGCAACCGCGCGCCCACCGACGAGGGAUACCACAUUGACUCGCAGCCGCAGCCAAGGAAGCCCACCAAGGAGACCCUCCCGCGCCAAGCAUCGCCGUCCAGCCGCAAGGGCCCAACUAGAUGGGGGCCGCCCACCUCCGCCUCUGCCGCACCGCCCCCUCACCAUUGCGCCACGGCGAGAGAGGCCACCCAUGACCCGUAGCGUCAAAUGCGGAUACGGACGCGCCGGCAUGAAGCCGCAGCCGCCGUCCACCGCACCCCCUCUCGCGCGCAAGGAGA